rnacentral:rRNA from 1 species
AUUGAACGCUGGCGGCAGGCCUAACACAUGCAAGUCGACGAUAGUGGCGAACGGGUGAGUAACACGUGGGUCACCUGCCCAUCAGAAGGGGAUAACACUUGGCAACAGGUGCUAAUACCGUAUACUGAUGGAUGGACCCGCGGUGCGUUAGCUAGUUGGUGAGGUAACGGCUCACAAAGGCCACGAUGCCUAGCCGACCUGGGAGGGGGAUCGGCCACAUUGGGACUGAGACACGGCCCAAACGCCUACGGGAGGCAGCAGUGGGGAAUAUUGGACAAUGGGCGAAAGCCUGAUCCAGCCAUGCCGCGUGUGUGAAGAAGGUCUUCGGAUUGUAAAGCACUUUAAGUUGGGAGGCGUUACCAACAGAAUAAGCACCGGCUAACUUCGUGCCAGCAGCCGCGGUAAUUC